UUCAACUUCCUCCAGUUCACCAUCAUUCCUUCCCUUCUUCUGUCAUCUUCCACUACAUUUUAUCUCUCCCUUUUAGUUUUCGGUGAUCGCACGGUGAAAGUGGAGAUUCGGCGUUCUCGCUGAUCACGUAUGCGUAGCUAGGGUUUGAGAAUUAGGUCACCAGAGUUGGUAGGGUUGUUCACGAGCUUAUCUCUGUUUGGUCUAGUGUUAUGAUUCUGUUUUCUUCCUUUCAUGUGUACCCUAUCUCUGAUUUGUUCCCUAUGCAACUCGUGAUCUUCUUUUCCUUCUUCUUCUGUUGUUGCUAUGAUUGAGUGUAUCUGGUCUUUGACUCCCUUUAGCCUGCUUGUGCGUUUUCAAAGAGAGAAAGAGGAGUGGCCUGCCAUUGGUUGAGUCCAGAAACACGAGAACUCUUCUCCCUGUUCUGUUAGCUUCUUGUUCUUUCCCUCCUCUGUUACUGUUGGUACUUAAGCCUGCUUGUGCGUUUUCGAAGAGAGAAAGAGGAGUGGCCUGCCAUUGGUUGAGGCCAGAAACACGAGAACUCUUCUCCCUGUUCUGUCAGCUUCUUCUCGUUCUUUCCCUCCUCUGUUACUGUUGGUACUUAAGGUAAGGAUGUUUGAACUCUUCUUGAUACUUUGGUGUAAGAAAGAGUGUCUGAAUGAAUGAUUGAAAUUGAAAUUUUUUUUUUAAGUUCUGUUGCUUUCCGUGGCUGCUGAAGGAAGGGAGGAAUGGAAUUAAACUAAAAUUUGUGUAUUGGAAGUAUGAUUUUGAUAAGUAUGGUUAGAGUUUGAGUCCAAUUAAUUUUAUUUGAACUAGAUGAUGUUAAAGAAAUGGUUAGGAUGAGCUGAAAUAGAAAAACUUGGAUAUAGAAUUUGACUGUUAGUGACAUGAGAUGUUUGUUAAAAUACUUGUGAAAAGAAGUCGUUUUAUUGUGCAUUUACUAGAAUAUUAGUAAAUUUCUUGAAAGACUUAAUUGGUUAGGGUGCUAUUAUUUUAUGAAUUUAACUUGAAAAUAUAAAUUGACUUGGGUGUUACUCAUUGGUAAAUUUGAGUCGAAUAUUAUAAAGACAUUUAUCUAUAUUAUUGAGAGAUUUAUUGGAUUCUUGUGUUAUGAUUGAAAAUUUGUAAAUUACAAUGUUGUGUAUGAUUUGAUUCUGGGGUGUAUGUUAGGUGUUCGAUGUAAGGUGCAGUAAAGGAAUUAUGAAGCAAUUGAAAGAUUGAAUGUAAUAUAUAUAUAUAUAUAUAUAUAAUUGGAUGUGUAUGUUAUAGAGUUUGAAAAUAAAAGCAUGCUCAAUAUGUUAGAUAAGGGGAGUAUUCAUAUGAAGUAACCGUGAAAUUAGAGAACUUUUAAGAUAUGGAUUUUGGUGUCUUUAAAUAAUUACUACAAUAGUUUAGUAGAGUUAAUUUGUAUUGACUUAAAUUUUUGCAUGUAUAUAAAUAUGCUUAUAUAGGGUGUCUAGAAGAAGAGGAUCUUGAUAAAAAUGAUAAGGAGUAAGUCAUAGAGGUUGGGAAGACUUAUCAGAUAGUGUAGCUGAUGCUAAAUCACCCACUGAACAUUGAGGAGUUUACAAUUGAUUAGAAGUGGAGGAGCUAAGGACUAAACUUUCUCUUGAUGUAAAGUUUUAAAUUAUGAAAUUUUCUUUUGUAAGCUUAUUAUUAGGUGCUCCACAUAGUCUAUGGUUAGGUUGUUUAUGUGGUGAUAUAUUGUGUCUGUUGGUUAGAAGGAGCUCCGCUCCUAAUUGGUUUGAUAUUUUUGAUUGAAACAUCAUCUUGUAAAAUUUUUGGGAGAUCUUAUUUACGAAGGAAGUUCUACCAA